rnacentral:rRNA from 1 species
AGUAAUACAUCGGAACGUGUCUUCUAGUGGGGGAUAACUGCCCGAAAGGGCAGCUAAUACCGCAUGAGACCUGAGGGUGAAAGCGGGGGAUCGCAAGACCUCGCGCUGGAGGAGCGGCCGAUGUCCGAUUAGCUAGUUGGUGAGGUAAAGGCUCACCAAGGCGACGAUCGGUAGCUGGUCUGAGAGGACGACCAGCCACACUGGGACUGAGACACGGCCCAG